rnacentral:rRNA from 1 species
CCUACAGGUGGCAGCAGUGGGGAAUAUUGGGCAAUGGGCGCAAGCCUGACCCAGCAACGCCGCGUGAAGGAAGAAGGUUUUCGGGUUGUAAACUUCUUUUCUCAGGGACGAAGGAAGUGACGAUACCUGAGUAAUAAGCCACGGCUAACUACGUGCCAGCAGCCGCGGUAAUACGUAGGGGGCAAGCGUUAUCCGGAUUUACUGGGUGUAAAGGGCGUGUAGGCGGGAAAGCAAGUCAGAUGUGAAAACCAUGGGCUUAACCUGAGGACUGCAUAUGAAACUAUUUAUCUUGAGUACUGGAGAGGAAGACGGAAUUCCUAGUGUAGCGGUGAAAUGCGUAGAUAUUAGGAAGAACACCAGUGGCGAAGGCGGUCUUCUGGACAGCAACUGACGCUGAGGCGCGAAAGCGUGGGGAGCAAACAGGAUUAGAUACCCUAGUAGUC